UCUCCUCUGCAGGCUAACCUGCCCCAGGCUGGGCUGGGUGAGUACUAGUAUCUCUUUGAAAGGCUCAGGCUUAAGCACGACUAGGAGC
rnacentral:pre_miRNA from 1 species